GAUGAACGCUGGCGGCGUGCCUAAUACAUGCAAGUCGUACGGAAAGGUUCUGCACUUAGUAUUUGACCUUGGUAAGUCUGAAAAGAUACUGCCAAGAACAGUAGCUUCUGGCUAGAAAUUACUGUCGAAUGUUAAGUGUAGAAUACUCGAGUGGCGGACGGCUGAGUAACACGUAGGAACGUACCCCAAAGUGAGGGAUAACUGCUCGAAAGAGUAGCUAAUACCGCAGUGCUCUAAGGAGUAAAGCUUCGGCGCUUUGGGAACGGCCUGCGUCUGAUUAGCUUGUUGGUGAGGUAAUGGCUCACCAAGGCGACGAUCAGUAGCUGGUCUGAGAGGAUGACCAGCCAGACUGGGACUGAGAACGGCCCAGACU
rnacentral:rRNA from 1 species